UACGUAGGGUGCAAGCGUUGUCCGGAAUCAUUGGGCGUAAAGAGCGUGUAGGCGGCCCGGUAAGUCCGCUGUGAAAGUCGGGGGCUCAACCCUCGAAUGCCGGUGGAUACUGUCGGGCUAGAGUGCGGAAGAGGCGAGUGGAAUUCCUGGUGUAGCGGUGAAAUGCGCAGAUAUCAGGAGGAACACCUAUUGCGAAGGCAGCUCGCUGGGACGUAACUGACGCUGAGACGCGAAAGCGUGGGGAGCAAACAGG
rnacentral:rRNA from 1 species